UGCAAGUGGUACGGAAUCCCGAAAGGUGACGGACCUUCGGGAGCUUGCACAGGUGCUGCAUGGCUGUCGUCAGCUCGUGUCGUGAGAUGUUCGGUUAAGUCCGCUAACGAGCGCAACCCUCGCUGUGUGUUACAAGUGUCACACGGGAACUGCCGGUCAUAAACCGGAGGAAGGUGGGGAUGACGUCAAGUCAGCAUGGCCUUUAUAUCCUGGGCUACACACACGCUACAAUGGGAAGGGGACAAUAAGGUUGCGAAGCCGCGAGGCGGAGCCAAUCCAAGCAAAACUUCCCUCAGUUCAGAUUGCAGGCUGCAACUCGCCUGCAUGAAGUUGGAGUUGCUAGUAAACGCAGGUCAGCCAUACUGCGUUGAAUACGUUCCCGGGGCUU
rnacentral:rRNA from 1 species